CUUUCUACAGGCUUAACACAUGCAAGUCGAGGGGCAGCAUUUUAGUUUGCUUGCAAACUGAAGAUGGCGACCGGCGCACGGGUGAGUAACACGUAUCCAACCUGCCGAUAACUCCGGGAUAGCCUUUCGAAAGAAAGAUUAAUACCGGAUAGCAUACGAAUAUCGCAUGAUAUUUUUAUUAAAGAAUUUCGGUUAUCGAUGGGGAUGCGUUCCAUUAGUUUGUUGGCGGGGUAACGGCCCACCAAGACUACGAUGGAUAGGGGUUCUGAGAGGAAGGUCCCCCACAUUGGAACUGAGACACGGUCCAAACUCCUACGGGAGGCAGCAGUGAGGAAUAUUGGUCAAUGGGCGCGAGCCUGAACCAGCCAAGUAGCGUGAAGGAUGAAGGCUCUAUGGGUCGUAAACUUCUUUUAUAUGGGAAUAAAGUUUUCCACGUGUGGAAUUUUGUAUGUACCAUAUGAAUAAGGAUCGGCUAACUCCGUGCCAGCAGCCGCGGUAAUACGGAGGAUCCGAGCGUUAUCCGGAUUUAUUGGGUUUAAAGGGAGCGUAGGUGGAUUGUUAAGUCAGUUGUGAAAGUUUGCGGCUCAACCGUAAAAUUGCAGUUGAAACUGGCAGUCUUGAGUACAGUAGAGGUGGGCGGAAUUCGUGGUGUAGCGGUGAAAUGCUUAGAUAUCACGAAGAACUCCGAUUGCGAAGGCAGCUCACUAGACUGUCACUGACACUGAUGCUCGAAAGUGUGGGUAUCAAACAGGAUUAGAUACCCUGGUAGUCCACACAGUAAACGAUGAAUACUCGCUGUUUGCGAUAUACAGUAAGCGGCCAAGCGGAAGCAUUAAGUAUUCCACCUGGGGAGUACGCCGGCAACGGUGAAACUCAAAGGAAUUGACGGGGGCCCGCACAAGCGGAGGAACAUGUGGUUUAAUUCGAUGAUACGCGAGGAACCUUACCCGGGCUUAAAUUGCAACAGAAUAUAUUGGAAACAGUAUAGCCGUAAGGCUGUUGUGAAGGUGCUGCAUGGUUGUCGUCAGCUCGUGCCGUGAGGUGUCGGCUUAAGUGCCAUAACGAGCGCAACCCUUAUCUUUAGUUACUAGCAGGUCAUGCUGAGGACUCUAGAGAGACUGCCGUCGUAAGAUGUGAGGAAGGUGGGGAUGACGUCAAAUCAGCACGGCCCUUACGUCCGGGGCUACACACGUGUUACAAUGGGGGGUACAGAAGGCGGCUACCUGGUGACAGGAUGCUAAUCCCAAAAACCUCUCUCAGUUCGGAUCGAAGUCUGCAACCCGACUUCGUGAAGCUGGAUUCGCUAGUAAUCGCGCAUCAGCCAUGGCGCGGUGAAUACGUUCCCGGGCCUUGUACACACCGCCCGUCAAGCCAUGAAAGCCGGGGGUACCUGAAGUACGUAACCGCAAGGAGCGUCCUAGGGUAAAACUGGUAAUUGG
rnacentral:rRNA from 1 species